rnacentral:sRNA from 1 species
CAAUUGACUGCCGAAGACAGCAGGUGCCGUUAGGCAUAAGGUUUAAAACGCCUGCCGAGGAAGACAAGAUUCUUUUAGAAGAUGACUUAGUAAUCCUCUGUGCUUCGAGCCGGAGGAUUUUUUAUUA